UGGUAAUGCCGGAUGCUCCAGUUGAUCGCAUGGUCUUCUGGGAAAGCUUUCGCGGUAUGGGAUGGGGUCGCGUCCUAUCAGCUUGACGGCGGGGUAACGGCCCACCGUGGCUUCGACGGGUAGCCGGCCUGAGAGGGCGACCGGCCACAUUGGGACUGAGAUACGGCCCAGACUCCUACGGGAGGCAGCAGUGGGGAAUAUUGCACAAUGGGCGCAAGCCUGAUGCAGCGACGCCGCGUGAGGGAUGGAGGCCUUCGGGUUGUAAACCUCUUUUAUCGGGGAGCAAGCGAGAGUGAGUUUACCCGUUGAAUAAGCACCGGCUAACUACGUGCCAGCAGCCGCGGUAAUACGUAGGGUGCAAGCGUUAUCCGGAAUUAUUGGGCGUAAAGGGCUCGUAGGCGGUUCGUCGCGUCCGGUGUGAAAGUCCAUCGCUUAACGGUGGAUCCGCGCCGGGUACGGGCGGGCUUGAGUGCGGUAGGGGAGACUGGAAUUCCCGGUGUAACGGUGGAAUGUGUAGAUAUCGGAAAGAAACACCA
rnacentral:rRNA from 1 species